GAUGAACGCUGGCGGCGUGCUUAAUACAUGCAAGUCGAACGAGGAACUUUUGUCUUCGGAUAGAGGUUUCCUAGUGGCGAACGGGUGAGUAACGCGUUGGUGACCUGCCCCGAAGUGGAGGAUAACAGUUCGAAAGGACUGCUAAUACUUCAUGAUAUCAAUUGGGUUAGAUACCUUUUGAUCAAAGGCGUAAGCCGCUUUGGGAGGGGCCUGCGUCCCAUCAGCUUGUUGGUAGGGUAAUGGCCUACCAAGGCUAAGACGGGUAGGGGACCUAAGAGGGUGACCCCCCACAAUGGAACUGAAACACGGUCCAUACACCUACGGGAGGCAG
rnacentral:rRNA from 1 species